rnacentral:rRNA from 1 species
AAGAUGAGAUUUCUUUAAAGGGUCGUGGGAGACUACCACGUUGAUAGGCUAUAGGUGUAAAGGCAGUAAUGUCAUAGCCGAGUAGUACUAAUAACCCAUAGGCUUAUGUGU